UCUGUCUAUUUAUAGGGCGAUCAUGUUGGGGCAGAAAUCAGUUGCAUCUUAACGGUUGGUAGUGAGCAGAAAGUGAAUUGGAAAAUAAGUGAAUUUGUAACAAUUUAUAGUUGAACUGUUUGCAAGAAGUCUACAAUAAUGAAGUGGAGAUACGCAAUACUAGCACUGAUAAUUAUUUUUUCCGUUGGAACGCUCGGUAAACCUUCACCUCAAUCGACGUGGGACGACGUUAAUGUACCAAUCACAAGUUCAACAGAGCUUCGUAGUGGGUUUGAAACAGUUCCCAAAGAUGAUCGGAAAAAGGAAGAACAUGUCAAAAGAACUAAACGCAACAUUGUCACCCCGUGGGCAUUUCAACAACUAAACUGAAACUUGCAUGCCAGUAAACCUGAUUUGUAAUCUAAAUUGAAGUAUAUUUUUUUAGCUGAUUGUCACCAAAAUGGACUCUCGAAUCUACACAAUAACAUGGACAUGCCUUGCAGGCGAAGCGGACUACGCUAGACGGCCCGUAAAAAGCCAUAAACAGGGACGAGCUUCGUAUUCGAUAAACACGGUUCAAUAAACUUUAUCCAAGCCUACCGAAGCACCCGACGACUAAAUGGACCAAAUGUUUGGACGUCAUCAAGCAAGAAUGGAACAAAUACGUUACUGAAAAAUACGUGUUGUGAGGAAGAAUCAAAGCGGAAAAUCUAAAAUUCUACCGAUUCGACCUUUAAGUGUUGAAGUGUUUAAAUUGUGAAAUAAAUGACAUCGCUGAGAAAAAUGAUUAA